UGGGGAAUAUUGCACAAUGGAGGGAACUCUGAUGCAGCGACGCCGCGUGAACGAAGAAGGCUUUCGAGUCGUAAAGUUCUUUUAUAUGGGAAGAUAAUGACGGUACCAUAAGAAAAAGCCCCGGCUAACUACGUGCCAGCAGCCGCGGUAAUACGUAGGGGGCUAGCGUUGUCCGGAAUCACUGGGCGUAAAGGGUUCGCAGGCGGAAAUGCAAGUCAGGUGUAAAAGGCAGUAGCUUAACUACUGUAAGCAUUUGAAACUGCAUAUCUUGAGAAGAGUAGAGGUAAGUGGAAUUUUUAGUGUAGCGGGGAAAUGCGUAGAUAUUAAAAAAAAUACCGGUGGCGAAGGCGACUUACUGGGCUCAUUCUGACGCUGAGGAACGAAAGCGUGGGUAGCAAACAGG
rnacentral:rRNA from 1 species